GCCUCGUUAGCGCAGUAGGUAGCGAGUCAGUCUCAUAAUCUGAAGGUUCGAUCCUCACACGGGGCU